rnacentral:rRNA from 1 species
UACGGGGGGGGCAAGCGUUGUUCGGAAUUACUGGGCGUAAAGGGCUCGUAGGCGGCCACUCAAGUCGAAUGUGAAACCUCGAGGCUCAACCUCGAGCCUGCAUUCGAUACUGGGCGGCUAGAGUCUGGUAGGGGGAUCUGGAAUUCCUGGUGUAGCGGUGGAAUGCGCAGAUAUCAGGAGGAACACCGGUGGCGAAGGCGGGAUCCUGGGCCAGUACUGACGCUGAGGAGCGAAAGCGUGGGGAGCAAACAGG